ensembl:misc_RNA 7SK 7SK RNA
GGAUGUGAGGGCAAUCCGACUGCAACAUCUGUCUUCCCAGUGAUCGAGAAGGUUGAUGGGGCUGACGUGGCUGGCUAGGUGAGAGUCUCUUUCUCCCUCAUCACUCCAUGUGCGUCCCUCCCAAAGCUGUGCAUGUGUCAGAAAGGACGACCUUCCCUGACAGAGGAUGACUGUUCUUCGGUCAAGGGUACAGGAGUAGCUGUGCUCCCCUGCCAACCUCCGAACAAGCCCUCGAGGUUCAUUUGUAGGAGAAUGUAGGCUAGUCAAGCUUCCAAGACUCCACACACAUCCCAAGGAGGUGCUGCAUGUGGCAGUCUGCUUUCUUUU